CUUUAUGGCUUUCUUGUUUUCGGAUUGAGUAAUUGUAUUAAUGUAUUGUUUCAUUUCCCUUUCAAGACGGUGUGGACAUGACCAGAAGAGGUGACUACCAAAAUCAAAGCUGUUCCGCCGAAAAGACCUGACGGGCCGUGACGUGACUGCUGAUUGAUUGACAGCAGACGGGGCCAAUGAGGAGGGGCCUUGGCCUUCGGCCCUCCCUCUACCUGUUUUAUUCGCCAUUGGGUAAUCAGUCAACCAAUAAAGAAAUGAUAAAUU